rnacentral:tRNA from 14 species
GGGACUGCUCCCUCGGGAGGUUCGACUCCUCCUCGCC